GCUAAACUGCACAUGACCGAGUGGGCCCUGAAGAGCUAGCUCUUAGCCGGUCCUUGCUCCUCUGCAGUUAGGCAUUCUGGACAGAAGACUACUGUCUUCGAGGGUAAACAGGGCCUCUCCCGUCCCUGACACUUAGCCUGAAGAUCUUCCACGGCCAAGCCAGCGUGAAUGUGCACCGCUUUGAUGCUUUGAGCUGCCAAGUUUUCCAGUCCCACCCCAUACCUUCCAUACCCGUGAGGCUGGUGACAAUGUCCUGGGCCACUUAAGGCUGAUCCCUAAGCCAAGUAAACCAGACUGGUGGCCUUUGAACUAAGGCAGUGCCAGCCUCUCUGCCUAGUUCUCCAAGUAGGGCCCAGGCCUGGAGCAAUACUGCGAGGUUCAAUUUGACAACUAUUGGGUGGCCCCUGACCUCCCCAGCCCUCUAACUCGUGACCCCAGGCUGCCCUUCCUGCCAUCCAGACAGGGUUGUGUGUCCUUGAAACAAAAGGAAAAAGUAAAACCAAACCAAACCAAACCAAACUCAAAAACCCCAAACAAACAAACAAACAAAAAACCAUAUGCACCCAGCUUUGGGAAAGAGAUGAAUUUAAAAAUACAAUCUUUAGGGAAUUUUUUUUUCUUUAAGUAAUUCGGAUAAUUGUCUUCAGUCUGAGGUAAAUAAAGAGCAAAUCCUUUAACCUCCUGUUCAGGGCCGUAAAGGGGCCUGCCUUUGUAUAUCCCUGGUGUUUUUUUAUGACCCUCAGCUGGCCUCUCGGCUGCCUAACGGGGACCUGCACAAAGCCAGACUAAUCGCAGAACAGUUUCGGAAAUGAGGGUCUUGAAUGGAAUUUCCUCAAC
rnacentral:lncRNA from 1 species